AUUGAACGCUGGCGGCAGGCCUAACACAUGCAAGUCGAACGAGUGGCGCACGGGUGAGUAAUGUCUGGGAAACUGCCUGAUGGCGGGGGAUAACUACUGGAAACAGUAGCUAAUACCGCAUACACUCGGAUGUGCCCAGAUGGGAUUAGCUAGUAGGUGGGGUAACGGCUCACCUAGGCGACGAUCCCUAGCUGGUCUGAGAGGAUGACCAGCCACACUGGAACUGAGACACGGUCCAGACUCCUACGGGAGGCAGCAGUGGGGAAUAUUGCACAAUGGGGGCAAGCCUGAUGCAGCCAUGCCGCGUGUGUGAAGAAGGCCUUCGGGUUGUAAAGCACUUUCAGCGGGGAGGCGUUACCCGCAGAAGAAGCACCGGCUAACUCCGUGCCAGCAGCCGCGGUAAUAC
rnacentral:rRNA from 1 species